ACGUAGGAGGCAAACGUUAUCCGGAUUUACUGGGCGUAAAGCGCGUGUAGGUGGUUCUGUAAGUAGGGCGUGAAAGCUCCUGGCUCAACUGGGAGAGGCCGUUCUAAACUGCAGAGCUAGAGGAUGGUAGAGGGAGGUGGAAUUCCGGGUGUAGCGGUGAAAUGCGCAGAUAUCCCGCGGAACACCAGUGGCGAAGGCGGCCUACUGGACCAUACCUGACGCUCAGACGCGAAAGCUAGGGGAGCAAACAG
rnacentral:rRNA from 1 species